rnacentral:lncRNA from 1 species
CCUCUGAAUCUUCUUCUGAGUCUUCCUCUAAAGUACCAUAUUUUUCCUCUGCGCUUUCCCCGGGGCUGCCAUAUUCGUCUUCUGAGUCUUCCUCUAGAGUUCCAUAUUCGUCCUCUUGGGUCCUAUAUUUGCUCUCUGGGCUCCCAUAUUCCUCUUCUAAGUCUUUCUCUAAAGUCCUAUAUUCGUUCUCUGGGUUCCCAUAUUUGUUUUCUGGGCUCCCAUAUUCGUCUUCUAGGGUUUCAUAUUCGUAUUCGUCUUCUAGGAUUCCAUAUUUAGAUUCUUCUAGGGUUUCAUAUUCAUAUUCAUCCUCUCGGGUCCUGUACUCGUCUUCUAGGCUCUCAUAUUCCUCUUCUGAGUCUUCCGCUCGAGUCCUAUAUUCUUCUUCUAGGGUCCUAUAUCUAAAUUUAACAAUUCCUGAACCCUUUUUAUCUUUUCUGUAUCGGGGAUCGUCAAAAUAAGCAAAAAUAGUAUUUCUACGUAAAACACCAAUAAG